rfam:Peptococcaceae bacterium BRH_c4a BRHa_1004217, whole genome shotgun sequence.
AUAAAAGAUAUCCUCACGCUGUAGACAGCUGGCGUCCUGGGGACGUAAUGGCGAAAGCCGCCAGCCGAGGCCUGAAGUAAACCUGCCAAUUCAAUUUGGGAUACAGGCGGGCCCUUAGGCUUUUUCUACUGGGCCCGCUUUUUUGCAUUCUUUG